AUACAUUCACAAAACAACUAAUAAAACAAAAAUCAUUGAAAGUAAUCAAAGAAUUAGGUUUUAUAAAAUUUGCAUAAAUUACUUCACCUAUUGGAAGUUUUAAAUUAGCUAUGACAAACAUAUAUUGAUCUUUAAUUAAAUUUCAACAAAUUUGAUCCAAAACCUUUUGAAGGUAAAUGAAAACUUUUAACAACAACACUGCAUUUGUUGCUCCACAGUGAUGACUAAAUACAUUUGCACAUAUGUGCAUCCUAGUGCCUGUAAAUUUUUGUUGUGUUGCACUGAGUUAUUAGCAAAA
rnacentral:misc_RNA from 1 species